GGCGCACGCGGGGAGGCGGCAGCGAGGGAGACAGCAGGCUCGGCGGGGGCUCCGCGGCGGAUCCCGGGGGCUCCUGCAGCGCCAGCGGGAACUGCAGCGAACCCGAGCCGCCCAGCAGGCUGUAGCACAGUCCACAGAGUUCACUGAAGUGUAACUUCCUAAACUGCUGUGAACAUGACAGCUGUGACUCAAAGCCUGCCAAGACACAGAGCCAGCCUAUAUGUCCAGCAGCAGAUGAAGAGAUAAAGAAAUCUGAUGAAUGAAACCACGACAUUUUUCAGAAAUAUUGAUGGAGCAGCAGGUCAUCGUGGCUUUCCCUGGGAACUCGGUCUGUUUGUCUCAGCCACAGGCUUGAAGCCCUCCCGGUCACUGAAUCCUCACACAUCCUGAAUCCUCCAUUCAACUCCUUCAGUUGUUCACGGAGGCCCUCUGUGCCCUCUACACUUGAGCUAUUUUAAUUUGACAUAAUUGAUAUAUUCCGGCACUACAAUUAAAUAGUACGUCUUUAAAUAA
rnacentral:lncRNA from 1 species